AUGGUCCGCCCCAGGAGGCUUAUGGGUCCGGAUGGAUUCCUGAUGGCUCUUGGGGAAUUUCCCACCACCUUGGCUGGUGAUUCUGUCGAUGCUCUGGUCGCCCUCUGGAACAAGGAGGCGACUAGGGCAAUAGACACGAUCGCUCCGGAACGUCCCCUCUCAAGUACCCGAGCUAAACCAUCUCCUUGGUUCACUGAGGAGCUGGCAGCGAUGAAGCGAAAGAAGAGGGAACUAGAGGGCGUGUGGCGUUCGAAGUCGAGCGAGCCAAACCGAACACGGCUAUGUCUAUAUCUCAGGGCAUAUGCCGCGGCAAUAGAUGCUGCAAAGAAUGUUUUCUUUGCAGCUAAUAUUGCGUCCGCAAAGAACCGUCUGGCGGAGCUGUUCCGAGUUGUUAGAGGUUUGUUAUAUCCCGCCCCCCAAGACGGGAUCCCUGACAACUCGGCAGCCCGCUGUGAAGCAUUUGCUCAGUUCUUUGCGGACAAAGUCGCUUUGAUCCGUUCUAGCUUUGACACCAUAUUAACGGCAGUCUCCGAGGAUGUAGCAAGAGCACCUGCUUGUCCCAUUUUGAUGGAUUCGUUUCAAUUGGUUCAGCCUGAGGACGUGGACAAGGUGCUUGGAGAAGUGAGGGCUACCACAUGCAUCCUAGACCCCUGCCCAUCCUGGCUGGUGAGAGAAGCCAGAGGGGGGUUGGCCGAGUGGGUGAAGGUGGUGGUGAAUGCCUCCCUUCGGGAAGGCAUAUUUCCAGCGAGCCUUAAAUUGGCUGUGAUCAAACCGCUGUUGAAGAAGCCAUCACUGGACCCCACUCAAUUGGAGAACUUUCGGCCUAUUUCCAAUCUCCCCUUUUUGGGCAAGGUCGUGGAACGUGUGGUGGCCGCACAACUCCAGGCAUUCUUGGUAGAUACCGAUUAUCUGGAUCCGGCACAGUCUGGCUUCAGGCCGGGGCAUGGUACCGAGACAGCCUUGGUCGCCUUAGUCAAUGAUCUACACCGCGAGCUGUACAGGGGGGAGUGUGUCCCUGCUGGUUCUGCUGGACCUCUCAGCGGCCUUCGAUACCGUCGAUCACGGUAUCCUUCUGGGGCGCCUUGCCGGGAUGGGGCUCGGAGGUACUGUUUUGCAGUGGCUCUGGUCCUUCCUGGAAGGUCGGUCCCAGAUGGUGUCCUUGGGGGACACCUGCUCGGCCCCACAACCAUUGACUUGUGGGGUCCCGCAGGGUUCAGUGCUGUCCCCCAUGUUGUUUAA
rnacentral:lncRNA from 1 species